rnacentral:rRNA from 1 species
CCUCGAGGGGGGGCGGGCGAAUAGGGGCAACCCUUAGUAGAGCGGCGCACGGGUGCGUAACACGUGGAUAAUCUGCCUGGAUGCCUGGGAUAACCAGUCGAAAGAUUGGCUAAUACCGGAUAAGCCCACGGUCUCUUCGGAGACUGAGGGAAAAGGUGGCCUCUGUAUACAAGCUAUCACAACCAGAUGAGUCCGCGGCCCAUCAGCUAGUUGGCGGGGUAAUGGCCCACCAAGGCGACGACGGGUAGCUGGUCUGAGAGGACGAUCAGCCACACUGGAACUGAGACACGGUCCAGACUCCUACGGGAGGCAGCAGUGGGGAAUUUUGCGCAAUGGGCGAAAGCCUGACGCAGCAACGCCGCGUGUGUGAUGAAGGUCUUUGGAUUGUAAAGCACUUUCGACCGGGACGAAACCGUAAAGCCUAAUACGCUUUGCCUUGACGGUACCGGGAGAAGAAGCACCGGCUAACUCUGUGCCAGCAGCCGCGGUAAUACAGAGGGUGCAAGCGUUGUUCGGAAUUAUUGGGCGUAAAGCGCGUGUAGGCGGCUUUGCAAGUCGGGUGUGAAAGCCCUCAGCUCAACUGAGGAAGUGCGCCCGAAACUGCAGAGCUUGAGUGCCGGAGAGGGUGGCGGAAUUCCCCAAGUAGAGGUGAAAUUCGUAGAUAUGGGGAGGAACACCGGUGGCGAAGGCGGCCACCUGGACGGUAACUGACGCUGAGACGCGAAAGCGUGGGUAGCAAACAGGAUUAGAUACCCUGGUAGUCCACGCCGUAAACGAUGAGAACUAGGUGUCGUGGGAGU